rnacentral:sRNA from 1 species
CGCUGGCCUAGGAUGGCCCCCGAAAAGGCGGUUUCACCUUCCCGCCCUGGCCAGCGCCCCCCCUCGAAGG